rnacentral:rRNA from 1 species
UUGGAUAGCGGACAUCUCGUUUCGCCAAAGGACGUCUUCUCGAGCGGAGGAGGGACUGCUUUCUCGCUCCGCUGGCGAGCCCGCUCACCACACCCUAGCCAGCGAGGUGAGGGGCGUUCUGGUGCGUCUGGGUUGUUUUCGGCCGCCGCGUUCCCGCGCUUGCUCUUCCCUUCACGCCCUUGCCCUCUUCCCUUCGUGUGCUUGGUCCCGUCACCUCCGUGCCACGUGCUUGUUCUCCUCUUCCGCCGCGUGGAGCAGGAGUCGGGCGGCAGCUGUAGUACCUAAGUUCGAGAGGCACGUUCCAUACUGCGAUGAGGAAGGGGACGGAGGAGAACACGACUACCGGUCUACCUAAACUAAGUCUAACCAAGUCAUUUAAUCCGAUCCCAAACUACCUAAGACCACUAAACAAGGUUCUUGUUCUAGCUAAGGGGAUAGGACACUAAAUCUAAGUUAGUUAAACCAAUUCCACCUGUACGAACAUCUUUAGGGGUAGAUAAAGAAGAAUAAUUAGGGACUCUCUUUGCACAUCUAGGCACGAUAAUGAGACGUGAGACGUCAACGCCCAUCUUUUAGUAUAACGAAUCAUGCACACGUCUUCUUGUAUGUCUCCUUUAAUAUAUUUGUUCCACGGCCAAACGACAUCCGUCGGUACAGGCACCUAACCCUGAUAAAUAUACACUAAGUAAAACCGUAUAUUUUCAUGAUGUUUCGUCCCUACAACUCUGUCACGAGACUUCAGACUUGAACUUGAAUGUUAAAUCUGUAAUCGUACAAUGGUAGAAAAAAAAGAACAAACUCCUUACUGACAACCUUAAGUCUUGAUCUUGUGAACUUAUGAGGACGUCAAAAAAUUUGACAUUAACGUGAUGUCGUCCUAUGAACAUAAUAACAGCCAACGAGGUACGAUUAUAAAUUGUCCUUUUGGUGACGAGUAAACAAUUUAGACUGGCUACGAUUAUAAACUUAAUUCUGUUUUCAACUUACGAAGCUGUAUAAAACCUACAUCCGUGCAAAUUCAUAAACUUAUCUAAUACGAUAGACUUGUACAGUGUUAACUCAAGGCUACUCAAGCUUCUACUGCGGCUACUGGGUUGUCUUUAAAAGAGAGAUCUUCUAAUGAACCGUGUUGUCUUAUGAGAGUUGUUGAAACGAUGUGUUUAUCGGUGUUUGUAAGUACUACGUGAUCCUCAAGGUUCAUGAUCCACAGCCAGUCGGGGAUCCUGUAUAUAACAGUCCUUCUCUCUUAAAAUGUCACUUGAAGAGUAUCGUCUAAUGAAGACACUAUUAGGAUGGAUAGGACUAAUGAUGAAGGCAUCUUCCAAGGCGUACCCUUUUGGGGAAAAAGAUGCGUAACAAGUUCGAGAACCACUCACCAGAGGGAUGAAGUGAGUUUCCCAUCUACGGGACCCGGCAGGUCCAGAUAGUGGAAAUAUCUUCACGUGUAGUCGGUACGUAUACAACCGCAUAUCACAAGGACGACUUUUUUGUCUACUGGUACAUUCUGAACCACGUAGAUGCUGUGAGCUCACAGAACUCUUAAAAAGAGUCCCCCAGUAACGAUUCAAACCACCUCUUAUAAACGUUUCCGGUUGACAACUUCAGUAAGUUGCAGAUGAUCUUUAACCACUUCGUGCACCAAAAGGACAUGGUUUCGGCGUUACCCGUGGUCAAGGACAUACACGUAACCACCCUUCGACACUUUCUGUCGGUUUUCACCUUCUAAGUACAUAUGUGUCUUCCUCUACCUUGUUUCUCCAGUAGUGGUUAUGGUUGACUCUUACGAGUCGCAGGGGGUCCUUGUUUCUCCCGCUUCUUUCGAUGUCCUUUUCUAUUCCUUCGGGGAUGAAUCUACUUAUUGUACUUUCUUGUCUAACUCCGGAAAGAUGUUCCUGUUCGACUACGAUUCCUCGCUUGACGACACUACUACCUUAACGUCUCAACUGACAGACGAGUCUUCCAUCUUCGAUUAGCUGAACGUAUACUCCGUCGUUACCUCUCCUGUCACCGGUUCAAUCGUCUCCUUUCUUGGUUCAACAAACUGCUCAAGUGUCUAUACAACUCACGACUGUGUUAUUCUUACCUCGGUACCCGUUUCCUCUACGUAUACUUCCGACAGUGUUCUAACCCCCUAGUUGAAAAGUCCCUCCUUAUCUUCUACAAGAUGUAUAUACAGGUUGUUUUCGCCUAAAGUACACGGUAUUUCGCAUCUUCUACACUCUGAAAAAAAACCUUACUCUUCUUAGUUUCCUAUGUCGUUGUUUAAGUCAGACUUUAAAUUAAACACACAAAUGUUUAGAUAGAAAGGAAAUACUCAUAAACUUUUGGAAUUCUAAUAAGACAAUGAUACCCUAAAACAUCACAGUACCUGUUGUGUAUGAGCAACUGUGACAAACGUAUAGUUCCAACGACAAAAAACAAACCUUUAGUUCAACAAACUAUUGAAAGUCACACAUACGAACAACUAUAUCUCAUACGAACAACUAUAGCAACUAAGUUUACCUACGAUCAUAACAAAUUUACAUCACCUCCAAAGUACAUAACCUUUCCUCCACUC